rnacentral:rRNA from 1 species
GACGAACGCUGGCGGCGUGCUUAACACAUGCAAGUCGAACGGCAAGGCCCUGCUUUUGUGGGGUGCUCGAGUGGCGAACGGGUGAGUAACACGUGAGUAACCUGCCCUUGACUUUCGUAUAACUUCAGGAAACUGGGGCUAAUACCGUAUAGGAGCUCCUGCUGCAUGGUGGGGGUUGGAAAGUUUCGGCGGUUGGGGAUGGACUCGCGGCUUAUCAGCUUGUUGGUGGGGUAGUGGCUUACCAAGGCUUUGACGGGUAGCCGGCCUGAGAGGGUGACCGGCGACAUGGGGACUGAGAGACGGACCAGAGUCGAACGGGAGGCAGCAGGGGGGAAUAUUGCACAAUGGGAGGAAGCCGGAUGAAGAAACGCCGCGUGCGGGAUGACGGUCUGCGGGUUGUAAACAGCUUUAGCCUGUGACGAAGCGGGAGUGACGGUAAUGGGUAAAGAAGCACCGGCUAACUACGUG